rnacentral:rRNA from 1 species
UACGUAGGGUGCAAGCGUUGUCCGGAAUUAUUGGGCGUAAAGAGCUCGUAGGCGGUUUGUCGCGUCUGCUGUGAAAACCCGAGGCUCAACCUCGGGCCUGCAGUGGGUACGGGCAGACUAGAGUGCGGUAGGGGGAGAUUGGAAUUCCUGGUGUAGCGGUGGAAUGCGCAGAUAUCGAGGAGGAACACCAAUGGCGAAGGCAGAUCUCUGGGCCGUAACUGACGCUGAGGAGCGAAAGCAUGGGGGAGCGAACAGG